AGUCCUACGGGAGGCAGCAGUGGGGGAUAUUGCACAAUGGGGGGAACCCUGAUGCAGCGACGCCGCGUGGGUGAAGGAGCGUUUCGGCGCGUAAAGCCCUAUCGGCAGGGAAGAAGGAGGACGGUACCUGACUAAGAAGCCCCGGCUAACUACGUGCCAGCAGCCGCGGUAAUACGUAGGGGGCAAGCGUUUUCCGGAUUUACUGUGAGUAAAGGGGGCGCAGACGGCAGCGCAAGCCCGGAGUGAAACACCGGGGCCCAACCCCGGGGCUGCUCUUGGAACUGGGCGGCUUGGGGGCAG
rnacentral:rRNA from 1 species